UGAGAAACGGCUACCAUUUCUAUGGAAGGCAGCAGGCGCGUAAAAUUACCCAAUCCUGACUAAGGGAGGUAGUUAAUAGAAAUAACAGGUUCGUGGUUUUUACCAUCGGACAUGUAAUGAACGCUAUGUAGAUAAAAGCGUGAAUCUAUUGGAGGGCAAGUCUGGUGCCAGCAGCCGCGGUAAUUCCAGCUCCAAUAGCGUAUACUAAUGUUGUUGCAGUUAAAAGCUCGUAGUUGAAAUUCGGCGCUUCUGCGUCUGUCCGCAAGGUAUCCCGAUCUCUCAAAGGAUCUGCCUAUCGAACGGACCUUUUACUGUUGAAGAAAUUAGAGUGCUCAAAGCAGGCCUUGCUUGUAUAACAAAGCAUGGAAUAAUGAAACAAGACUCCGUUCUUUAUUGGUUCUG
rnacentral:rRNA from 1 species